rnacentral:lncRNA from 1 species
CCCUGGGUGUGUCGGAAAUUCUUGGAAACCAGCUCAAGUUUUCCGGUACAUCCAAGACGGCUCCUUCGGCUUCUAGUCCUGCAGCCAGCUUUAAGACCGUCGCCCUUUUCCAAAAGAAGAAACCUGCACCCAAGGCUAAGCCCGCUCCCGUCACCCCGGCUUCCGACGAGCUUGCCAAGUGGUACGGUAAGUAUUAAUUAUACAUAAUAAUAUAUCACUACUACUACUAUCCAUCCAUCCUCAUGAAAUACUUAUCUGUAAUAAUUACAGGUCCUGAGAGAAGAAUAUUCUUGCCCGAAGGUCUUUUGGACCGGUCGGAAAUCCCAGAGUACCUCAAUGGGGAAGUCGCCGGAGAGUAAGUCAAUUACCUAAUUACACACUACCAUCUACAUUCACAAUAUAUAUAUAUANUAUAUAUAACAACUAUUAAAUGACUUUUUUUUUCAUCAUCUCAUAUGCAGUUAUGGUUAUGAUCCGUUUGGACUUGGCAAGAAACCAGAAGACUUUGCCAAGUAAGUUCCCACUGAUCAAUUACUCAAGAUAAUAAAUUAUAGUUUAUACAUACAUACAGAGUUGAGUUGAGUCAACUCAGGGAAAAUGGAUUAUAUACAUAGUUUUCCGUACAACGAGUCAUCAACCAACUGUCAACUGACUUUGGUUUUCUGUAUAUAUUUCUGGGUACACACACACAGUGACACAGUCAUUGCUGUCUCUAACUUAAUUACAACAAGUAAAGUAAUGUUAUGGCAUGCAGAUACCAAGCGUUCGAGCUUAUUCAUGCACGAUGGGCUAUGCUGGGUGCGGCGGGUUGCAUCAUUCCCGAGGCCUUCAACAAGUAUGGUGCCAACUGUGGCCCUGAAGCUGUCUGGUUCAAGGUUCGUAUCACAUAUCAUAUCAUGCUGAAAUUACUAAUUAAUUAAAGACUAAAACUUUAACGAGUUCAGUUUAUUUGGGUACAUGGAUGCAGACGGGUGCUCUACUACUUGAUGGGAACACAUUGAAUUACUUUGGGAAGAACAUCCCCAUUAACCUCGUCCUGGCUGUCGUUGCAGAGGUUGUUCUUGUUGGUGGUGCGGAAUACUACAGAAUCACCAACGGCUUGGUAUGAAUCAUAUAUAGAAUUAAUAAAUAACCAACUGUUUCAGAAUAUUGUAUUCCUUCCAUGAUUAAUUAAUUUUGGGAGGUUUUAAUUUAUUUAUGUACAGGAUUUUGAGGACAAGCUGCACCCUGGUGGGCCAUUUGACCCAUUGGGAUUGGCUAAUGAUCCAGACCAGUUUGCAUUGUUGAAGGUGAAGGAGAUCAAGAAUGGUAGACUAGCAAUGUUCUCCAUGUUUGCGUUCUUCAUCCAAGCGUAUGUGACUGGACAGGGCCCUGUUGAAAACCUAGCUUCUCACUUGAGCGAUCCCUUUGGAAACAACAUUCUAACUGUUAUUUCUGGAAACAUUGAACGAACCCCAACCCUGUAAAACCCCAAAUUUCAGCUCUUCAUUAUGACUGAUAAUCAAA